rnacentral:lncRNA from 1 species
UUAUUUUACGUUUUAUGCCUCCCAUGUUGAUUGAUAUAUUGUAUAAGAUAUCAAUGGUUUACUAAGAUAGAGAUUGUUUGCAUCCUCAUCUCCGUCUCUCUUUACUUAUACUACUACUUUCUUCGCAUCUCUCAGCUUUUUACUUUCUGUGAAUUGCAUUGGAUUUUUUUUUUUUUUUUUCAUAUUCAGAAAGUUUCCAUAAUGGAUUGUGUUCUGAGAUACCAUUUUUAACUGAUUUAGUAAAUACGCAAAAAAAUAUUUUCUUUUUCCUUUUAAACGGACUGAUUUACUUCGUUUUUUGGAAAUUCAAAACAGGGGUAAAAGGUAAAAAAAAUAAACAAGUUUUUCUUUUGGUUCUGUUUUUUUUUAGUUUAUCAUGAAUUCGUCCAUUUCUCAAAACCCUAACCUACAAGAAGCUUCCUUGCACCCGAAGCAAUACCCCAUUGUAUCUUUGCUCUUCUGUUUGUUGAGUGGCUACGACGACAUGAUGAUGGGCAGAGGAGUCGUUAAGAUGGAUAUUUGAGCAGUAUAGCCAUUGCCGGAGAUUAUAAAAUAGUUCGCGGAUGAGACAGUUAUUGAUCGUGAAUUUGAUUAAAAUAAUUUCGAUUAAAAUUAGGGUUUACAGUAAGAGAAUUUGGGGAAAACGACGUGCACAUGACAUGUGCAUGGGUUAAUUAACUUUAAUUUAACACGUGAUCUAAGAUCACCUCCAUCAAGAGUUCAAGAGGUAUUCUUGGCCCAAAAACAUAUGCAAACUUUUGUUAAAAAAAGAAAAGAGUCUAUUUUCUUAAGAACCGCUUCUUAAAUAUUAUUUUUUAGAAUCGGUUUUAAAAACCACGUGUCCGCAUGUGAUUGACCAUAAUUUUUUUUUUUUUGAGAUCCUCUCUCUCCUCUAAAGUCUCCUCUCCACCAUAUUCGGUCGACCAUUUUUCUUUUUGGCCGAUAAUAUUUGUUAGGGUUUGAAAGAGUGAAUUUGUGAUUUCUGAAGAGAAAAAUUAGUGGAGAGGAGAGUUGUGAUUUCAGAAGAGAAGAUCAACCAAUUUUUGACUUCCUUCAUUCCUUGUUAGGUUUUAGGUUUCUUUUUUUAAGUCGAUGUUAUGUCUAUGUUAUGAAGUUAUGUACUCUUUGUUUUCCAUCAAUAUUAAAGCUAAGCAAAACGUUGCCAUUCUUGUGCCUUUAUAGUAUGUAUUAUGACUUGAAUCUUUUGGGAACAGUUUGCAGGAAAUGCAUAGAGGAAAUGUUAUGAUCUUCAAACCCUGAUGCUCCAUUGGAAACUGAGAAGCUUGCUGAGGAAACAGAAGCUGUUACUCAGUUCCAGAGCUCGUCUAGACCAGUUCCAAACUUUAGGAAGCGUCCACGGACAAAUCCAAGGGCUAAAAAGAACGAGACCCGAUUGGAACCAGAACAACUUCAUAAGGAAAGUGAAAAACGGUUUCAAGAUUCUUCUCAUCAUUUAACAAGACAAUGAUUUAGUUAGUAAAAACUUAAUAAUGAGUGUUUUAAAAUGUUUUGCUAGGUAAAAUGGAGAAACAACGAACGAUGCUCAUACAAGGUCCCACCGAUUACUUGAAAGCAAUGAAGCAACAUAAUUCAUAUUCCUAACUAUUUGUUAGCUUUACAUAGUUAGCUGAAUAGUUAGUUGUAAUGAUCGGUUAUAUAUGCUUUAUGAUAAAUGCUCGUUAGGUGUUUGUGAGGUGAAGACUCUUUGUUAUCAAUGCUUGGUAGUUUAGAGUAGGUUAAAUAGUUAAAGCUCUUUUGAUGAAUGCUGGUUAUUGAUUGCUAAGGGCAUCUCCAACCCUAUCCCAUUUGUUCCUCCAAAUGCUAUUUUGGGAGAAUUUUUUUUCCAAUCCUAUUCCAUUUUUCACCUCCAAAAUGGGGGAAUGCCAUUUUUUCCUCCAAAUUUAAAGUAACUCCAUUUUCAACUCUAUUUGCAGGUGAACUUUUUUAUUUCCAAAAUAGUCAUUCACUUUUCAUUAAUUCUUAAAACUAUAUUUUCAUUUAUAAUUUAACUCUUCAUAUUAUACAUAUUUAAAUUAAAAUAAAAGAUAGAUAAAUUUAAAAUUUGAGAAUAGAAAAUAUAAUAAGAUUAACUGAAAAUAGAAAUCACAUAAAAUUAAAAAUACAUAAGAAAUACUAAAAUUAGAAAUAACAUAAAACAAAUUUAAUACAACAACUGAUUAAUAAAAAUCCGGUAAACUGCUUCCAGAUCUACCAAUAUCAUUGAAAUACUGUCCAAACAAACUAGAUUGAGGCGGAUUUUGUUGAUAUUGUUGUUGUUCAGCCCUUUUCUGUAAAAUCCGUGUUUGUUCACUCUGAACAUAAGCACGAAGAUUUGGAUCUUGUAUCGAGUUCAAGUAUUGGAACAAAAAUUUGUUUUCUUCCUUAAAUUAUUUCAAGGCAUAGUUCUUUACUUUGAAUAUCCAAAUGUUGUUGUCUUUGGGCAUUUGUCUUCUUUAACUUUUCCAAAAGUUAUUUAUUUCCUUCUUCUAAAGAGUUGAUAACAUCUGAUGUUCCAUCAUCGAUUUUUCUUUUCAUUUUGGAUUUUUUUUAUUCCACUUAGUCGUUGAGAAAGAGAAGCACCAAUAGUCUCAUCAUCAUCUAUAUUUAUAAAAAAAUGAAGACAAACGCUCAUUUCUCACUUCGAAAUGCUUUAAUUGAUCAUUUGUAGGAAAAAUAUUCAAAUGGUGAAAUUUAAAUUAAAAUGUAUUUUUUAUUUUAUUUUAAAUGGUGUGUAAUGUUAUUUUUAUAUCAUAGUGAUUGAAUUUAAUAUUAAUAUUAUUUUUUAUGGAAAUUUCAACAGAAAAAAUAAAUGGGUUUAUUUAUAAUUUUUAUAAAUAAAGUGUAUUAUUAGUAAUUAACAAUAAAAUAAAAAAGGAAGAAUAUACUUAGAAUAUUCUUUUUAAAGUUGAAAAUGGGGGAAUACAUUGGAGAGCUCCAUUUUGGAGUUACUCCAUUUUGGAGACAAAAAUGGAAGAAUACAUUGGAGAUGCUCUACCAACACUUUAACCAUAACCAUUUAUAUAUUUCACUAGAAACACUUCCACCAUAAAACAAUUAUUCUUCUCGAAAACUUUCUAAAAACUUUCUUAAAUCAUUCUUCAAAUCACUCGGAGACUGAUAACACCGUAUUUUGACCAUUUUUAUGGAUCAUAAUUGUAUCUUAUGCAGGUGUUUUAACUCUGUUUUCAAUAGUUUUUAAAGUGUUUUCAAUGUUUUAGAGUUUCAAAAGACUUUACAGGAAACUUGGGCAAAAAAUAUGCAAUUUAGAACAAAUGAGCAAUUUGGAUAAAUGCAGACCGUCAGAAGUAUGACAAGCGAUGAAGACCUUCUCAGCGUCUGAUCACCCCCAAAAUUUGAGACAACAUAGAUGAUCCAACCAGCUUUCUAAUGCACUUGGUUUGGAGACAAUCCAACGGUUAGAUCUUCAGAUACUCCCGAUGCAAGAAUGACAGAAAAUGCAGUUCCGGAAGAGGACCACGAGCCGGGACCGCGGCCAACACCUGUUUUCCCGCGGGUAGAGCCACCGCGACCGCGGACAUUGGUCGUUCAUUUUCCCGACGACUUAAUUAAAGCCCAGAUCAAUUCCUUUCGUUAUUUUUGAAGCCCUAAGUGUCCAAAACCACCCCAGAAGCUAUAAAUACCCUCUUUAGGUCAUUCUAAAGAGGCAGAGAAGAAUAAAAUGAAACACUUAGAGAGAGAGAGAGAGUUCGUGUGCUUCACAAACCCUAGGAGCCGCCGCCUUUGAUGGAGGAGCCACCGAGGAGAGCAUCAUCGCGCCUCCAUCUGCGAUUCCGUUCUUCAUUCUUCUUCCCUGUUUUCUUUAGUUUCCUGCACUUUCAAUUUCGUUUAUGAUGCUUUGUUACAAUAAGUUUGAGUAGUUACCCAGUUGGGUUUAAAGGGAUUGUUCAAAGGGAAUUUCAUGUGUCUUUGCUUAUGAAUCGAUAAAUUUAGGAUUUAUAAUCUUCUAGAUGUUCUUCGUUUGCCUUUAAUCUUACUGCGUGAUUCUUUGCUGGCCACUUAGAAGCCGAUCUGAUAUGAUAUGUUGCGAAAGCUUUCAUUGAUUGUCUGAACUAGGGUGAAACGAGCAAUUCUUCUAUAGGAGUGGGAACCUACCUGUUGUUGAGUUGUGAAUGUUGAUGAGUCUUAUUCUGCUAUUGCAUCUUCUCCCUUCCAGGAUCAGAGUGGAAACCUACUGAUCAGGGUUGCGAGAGAUAGUUGUUUAGUGCUGCGAAAGUAGGCUAUUCAUACUUCCGUGCCUCGAGUUCUAGAACAUACGUAGUUGAUUAGCUUUAUCACUUGUUUAAAAUCGACCUAGCAUAGACCAUGAACCCCUGCGAAACCCCUUGAGCCCCAACGUUUGUCUUUCAUUGCUUACAACCUUCAAUUUAAUUGGCUUUUCAUUUGCUUGUUCUUUGCUUUCAAUCGCCUAGUUUAAUCGCCAUCUAGUUGCCUUCAUUCGCUUUUGUUUAAUCGAUUUUUACUUGUUUUUAUUUGCUUUCACUUUCAAUUGCUUUUACUUGUUUAGCUUUCUAGUUUAGAUUUAGUGACAACAAAAACCCAAAACCAAAACCAAAACCUUUUUAGUUCUAAUCUGAUUUAAGCGUUGCAGUGAAUUCGUACUGAAACAACUAAGUCUCUGUGGAUCGAUACCCUAAGUACUACAGCGCACAUCUGUGCACUUGCAGACAUUUAGGAGUUAUAAAUUUAAAACCUGAAGCUUAGUAAAACGAAAACAACCAACCCCGUUUACAAACUCGCAUCAAGUUUUUGGCGCCGUUGCCGGGGACUUAAAUUUGUUUCGUUGCGAAUCCCAGCUUAAAUCCAUUAGAACACUUGUUUACUUUUACUUUUUCUUUUGAAUUUUUCAGGUUUCUCUGCAAUGAGAGACCAUGAACAUGUUCCCGGAAUUCUUGGUGAUCCACCAAAUCGUGUGGAUGGUGAUCCAAGUGAUGAUGACCUGACUGAUGAUGAGUUUGAAGAACCGAUUUAUGAUGACAAUGAGCUGAUCGGAUCGGUCAAACACAAAGAUGAUGAUGAACUGAUUGGAAGUUUCGAUUCACUCGAGAAAUUCUUGGGAGAUCGAAGAGCUAUUCAACCAGCCUUACCUGAGGAUGGCAAAACCGAAAUUAAGGUACCACAUAUCCAUUUAGUUCAACAAAAUCAAUUCCAUGGUUAUUCAUUCGAAAAUCCGAUAGACCAUAUCGAGACGUUCGAAGAAUUAUGUGCAACCAUUACAGCAAAUGGGGAUUACCACAAGUGUAGUCUUUUUCCAUUCUCUCUUAGAGAUAAGGCCAGCAAAUGGCUAAAAUCUUUGCCACCUGCUUCACUAAAAACGUGGGCAGCGUGUAGAACUGCUUUCCUAAAUCGUUUUUACACUAGAAAUCGUUCAAAUCUCUUAAGGAAGAAGAUAAGAACUUUUAAACAAAAAGAAGAUGAAGAUCUUUUAGAUACUGGGGAAAGAUUUAGGGAAUACCAAAGAGUUUGUCCACACCAUGGAUAUGCCGAGGAAUACCUGCUAGGUAUCUUCUAUCGCGGUAUAACUCCAGAGGUACGACACUCUUUCGACGUAGCAAGUAAUGGAGAUUUCACAACUAGAUCUGUAGAAGAUGCUCACUUUUUCAUUAAAAAUUUAGGAAACAGCAUCCGAAAUCAAGUAACCUUUGGUAAUUCUGCACUUCCUGAGAAAAAAGAAGAAAUUUCGGAAGUUAUAAAGUGUCUCCGUCACAUAAUGAGUCAUCUUGGAUUGCAACAACCAAACAAGGCACACAAACGUGUAACUUUGAAGGUUGGGACAACCCAAUGAAUUCUUAUGAUCAAGGGAUGGUGAACACUGCAGAAGUUUAUCAAAUUCAAGAUUUUCCAUUCGUUUCUGAUCACCGCGGGUCCAUUCAUCCGGACCGCGGCCAAGCAAGGUUUCACCGCGGUCGUGCUGGUUCUGACCGCGGCCAAGACAUGAUUCACCGCGGUCGUGAGCCACCUGACCGCGGGAAAACGUCUUCUGGGCUUGGUUGGACACCACCUCCCGAACCAAUCUUGGGUAUUCAAUCUAAUCAUGUUCCAUAUCCUAGUUUUCCCUCUUCUGAAGCUGAAAACCUAAACAAAAGAAUUCUAGAGCUUGAAAAAUCUAGGUCUAAAGAGAUUAGUGAUCUUAGAUCUGAACUAAAAGAGAUGCAGAAGGAUUUCGAUGAAAGAUUAUCCACCAUCCUUAGCAUAAUGGCCAAAACUAAUUCUAAAACUUAGAAAAAUCUGAAGAGGAGCCAAGUGAAAAUUCUUUCGAAAGCUCAAGUGAAGCAGAUCCCUCCGAAAAUGUGAAAGCUAUCACACUUAGGAGUGGAUAGCUUACAAAGAGCCUGAAUUUCCUAAAGAUCCCAAAGAUGAGGAAAAGGGUAAAGAAAAGGAGAAAGAAAAAGAAAGAAUCACGAAUGAAGAUGUUGAAAAAGAAGUGGUAGGAGAAAAGGAUGGAGAAGAAGUAAGAGAAGAUUCAUCCCGGGAAAUCCUUGGAGAAGACCCGAUUCCACCUCCACCAACUCAUGUCUAUAAACCUAAACCUCCAUAUCCUAGAGCCUUAAAAGCCCCUAAGAAAGAGAAAGAAAAAGUUAAGCUGAAAGAGUUGAUCGAUCAAUUAAACGUGAAAUUACCUUUCGUAGAAGCUUGUGCUAUGAUUCCUGCUUUAAGAAAAUACAUGAAGGGUAUUCUAACAAAUUCUUUAACUCUUGAAGAAGGCGUUAUGAUGAUAACCCAUGAAUGUAGUUCUAUCCUGCAAAGCCGAAUCCCUGAAAAGAAAAACGAUCCUGGAAGCUUCGUACUUUCAUGCACCAUCAAUGAUGUAGCUUUUGAGCAUGCUCUCUGUGAUUUAGGUUCUAGCAUAUUUAUGCCUCUUUCAGUAGCAAAACGUUUAGGACAUCACACUUUCAAGCCCACUAAAAUUUCUUUAGUACUAGCUGAUCGUUCUAUUAGACAAGCCGUAGGUAUCCUUAUAGAUGUUCCAGUAGAAAUCGAAAAAUGUUCCAUCCCCACCGAUUACGUAGUUCUAAAACUAGAAAAAGAACCUAAGGAUCCACUUAUUCUUGGAUGACCAUUCCUAUCUACAGCCGGAGCCAUAAUCAAUGUUCCUGAAGGAAAAAUUGACUUUCAUCUAGCCGGUUCAGUUAUGCAGUUUGACAUGAACAAAAGUUUCGAUAAACCAACUUUGGAUGGCAAAAUUUGUUGGGUUGAUGAGUUAGACGGAAUUAUUGAGUUAGUCUAUGAAGAUCUGCUUCUAGGUGACCCUUAAAGUGUCACGCUUUCACCCGCAAAAGAUGAACGCAAUUUCCUUGAAGAAAUUUCGAGUGAAUGCGCGCGUAUGCUUGAUAAAUCCGAAACUUAUAGGAAACCUCUAAACUAUCUAGAUCUUAAGGACCAAACAAACAUUCCUACACCUCCUAAAGACACUGCUGCAGCAAUUAAUGAUCCUUGGAGCGAGCUUAAAGCCCCUAAAGUCGAGCUUAAACCUCUUCCCGUCGGACUUAAGUACGCUUUCCUUGGACCAAAUUCAACUUAUCCUGUCAUUAUAAACUCUGGUUUGACGGAAGAAGAAACCACAAUGCUGUUGACUGAGCUGAGAAAGGAUAGAAAAGCCUUAUGAUAUACACUUGAUGACAUACCUGGAAUCUCCCCAGAUCUUUGUAUGCACAAGAUAAAUCUAGAGGAUAAUGCUAAAAACUCAAUCGAAAGUCAAAGGAGACUGAACCCCAAUCUCAUGGAUGUUGUCAAGAAGGAGAUUAUGAAGCUUUUAGAAUCUGGAAUAAUCUUUCCUAUCUCAGAUAACACUUGGGUUAGCCCAGUUCAUGUUGUUCCAAAGAAAGGAGGAGUCACUGUCAUUAAGAAUGAUAAAGAUGAAAUGAUCGCUACAAGAACAGUAACUGGACAUCGUAUGUGCAUCGAUUACCGGAAGCUGAAUGCAGCAACUAGGAAAGAUCAUUUUCCACUUCCCUUCAUAGAUCAAAUGCUAGAAAGAUUAGCUAAUCACCCCUACUAUUGCUUCCUUGAUGGAUACUCCAGAUUUUUCCAAAUUCCUAUUCGCCCGGAGGAUCAAGAAAAAAUGACAUUUACCUGUCCAUAUGGCACAUUCGCCUACCGACGUAUGCCUUUUAGAUUGUGUAAUGCACCUGCUACCUUCCAGCGGUGCAUGAUGUCGAUCUUCACAGAUUUUAUUGAGGAUUUCAUGGAAGUGUUCAUGGACGAUUUCUCUGUCUAUGGAUCUUCUUUUGAAAAAUGCUUAGGCAAUCUUGGCAAAGUUAUGCAAAGAUGUGAAGAUAAGCACUUAGUAUUAAAUUGGGAAAAAUGUCACUUCAUGGUACAAGACGGAAUCGUUCUUGGGCACAGAAUUUCCGGAAAAGGUAUUGAAGUUGACAAAGCUAAAAUCGAGGUCAUGACCAGCCUACAACCACCCACAAACGUGAAAGGAAUUCGUAGUUUCUUAGGACACGCAGGAUUCUAUAGGCGAUUCAUAAAAUACUUUUCUCAAAUAGCUAGACCUCUUACGCGUUUGCUUUGCAAGGAAACGAACUUCGAGUUCGAUGAUGAGUGCUUAGCCGCGUUUCAUAAGAUCAAACAAGCCCUUGUUUCCGCUCCAGUCGUGCAAGCACCUGAUUGGGAACUCCCAUUCGAAAUCAUGUGCGAUGCAAGUGACUAUGCUGUCGGAGCAGUGCUUGGCCAACGAAAAGAUAAGAAACUGCACGUAAUCUACUACGCAAGCAGAACUCUUGACGAAGCUCAAUGCAAUUAUGCUACAACAGAGAAAGAACUUCUAGCUGUCGUAUUUGCAUUUGAGAAAUUCCAUUCUUAUCUCGUAGGAUCUAAGGUUAUAGUUCAUACUGAUCAUGCUGCAAUCAAGUAUUUAAUGUCUAAGAAAGACGCUAAACCUCGGUUGAUAAGAUGGAUCCUCCUACUGCAAGAAUUCGAUAUCGAAAUUCGAGAUCGGAAAGGAGCAGAUAAUGGAGUCGCAGACCAUCUUUCACGAAUUCGAGUUGAAGAAAGAUUGCCCUUAAAUGACAGUUUGCCAGAAGAAAACAUCUAUGAAAUAGAUACUACCCCCACCAAUGCCAAUACCACACCACCACGUCCACUCAUACGAAGAGCAGAUGCUUUCAACACCCCAUGGUUUAGGCAUAUAGCAAAUUACUUAGCAGCUGAUGUAGAGCCCCCGCAAUUUUUUGGUUAUAGGAAGAAAAAGUUCCUGAAAGACAUAAGAGAUAGGGUUCAUGGGUUAUUCCGAAGAUGCGUGGCUGAAGAAGAGAUGAAAGGAAUUUUAUUCGGAUGCCAUAGCUCGUCUUACGCAGGACACUUUGCAACUUUCAAAACCGCUUCAAUGAUCUUACAAGCUGGUUUUUGGUACUUUGUUCAAAGAUACUCAAGCUUACAUAUCGCGAUGAGAUAAAUGCCAAAGGAUGGGCAACAUAAGCAAAAGGAAUGAGAUGUCUCAAAAUUUUAUUCUCGAAGUCGAAAUUUUUGUUGUCUGGGGAAUAGAUUUUAUGGGACCCUUUCCUACUUCUUUUGGAAACCAAUACAUCUUAGUAGCUGUAGACUACGUCUCUAAGUGGGUUGAAGCAGUCGCUAGUCCCACCAAUGAUGCAAAAGUUGUCAUGAAGCUGUUUAAAUCUGUUAUAUUCUCGCGUUUUGGAGUUCCUAGAAUUUUGAUAAGCGACGGAGGAUCGCAUUUCAUCAACAGAGUUUUCGAAAAUCUUCUUAGAAAGAAUGGAGUUACACAUAAAGUUGCUUCUCCAUACCAUCCCCAAACCAGCGGUCAAGUGGAGAUCUCAAACAGAGAAAUCAAGUCGAUUUUGCAGAAAACUACUGCAGUUCAUCGCAAGGAUUGGUCUACCAAGCUUGACGACGCAUUAUGGGCAUACCGAACAGCAUUCAAGACACCAUUAGGAACAACACCAUUCAACCUAGUUUACGGAAAAGCAUGUCACCUUCCAGUAGAACUCGAGUAUAAAGCGCAAUGGGCUAUCAAGGAGAUGAACAUGAACAUGAAAACAGCUAGAGAAAAAAGACUACUUCAACUUCAUGAGUUAGAAGAAAUCCGACACAAUGCCUACGAAAACUCGAAGAUCUACAAAGAGAAGACUAAAGCAUAUCAUGAUAAGAAGAUUAUUCAUAGAACUUUUGCUCCUAACGAUAAGGUACUUCUUUUCAAUUCUUGUCUUAAGCUUUUUCUAGGAAAAUUACGAUCAAGAUGGUCAGGACCAUUCCUGAUAAAGGAAGUCAAACCAUACAGAGCCAUUGUCCUGUGGGACAGAACCGGAAACUCAUUUACAGUGAAUGGACAGCGUGUAAAGCCAUAUCUGGCUGAAGAAACCGAAGACGAGAGAGAAGUGAUGUUUUUGAUUGAUCCAUCAUCGGCCAAUGAUGAGACCAAGGAGUGUCACGACCUCGGUUAAUUCUAAUCGAGCAACAAUGUCAAGCUAAUGACUUGAAACAAGCGCUUAGUGGGAGGCAACCCACUUGGUAUUUUAUCUAUUUCCCUUUGACCUUUAUUUUCUAUUUCCAUUGCUUUGUUUCUGUUUCAUUUAUUUCAGAUUUUCAAUAAAGAAGAACAAAUAAAAAAGAGACGAGCAGCACUCUCCAGCACGAUAAGUACUCUUAAACAUUUCAACUUUUCUAUUGUCUUUACCAUUCUUUCCAAGAUUUAUCACACUGAGGACAGUGUGAAAUAAGUCUGGGGGAGGAUGUUCAUCCGUUACUAAUGAAAUUUGAUUUGUUUUGAGUUUGUUUAGGACACAUAAAAUUUUUCAAAAAGUUUUUCAUAAAAUUUUUCAAAAAUCGAUUUCAAUAAUGUUUUUCAAAAAGUUUUCAAACCAGGAACACAGUAAACAUUUCUAUGAUGAAUUAGACCAGUGUGAUUCUACGCUAUUUCCUCGUUUUUUGCUCUUUUUGUGAUUUAGGCGUAGACUAAGCGGUAGCUAAGUACUUGCAUUAUGAAAUCCCACCAGAGGACUUCUAUUCAUGGAGAUUCUUUCUGACAGGAUAAACUAGCUCAUUUUAUUUGGACUUAAUUUUGACUUAAUUUUCUCAUUAAAGCGUUAGAUUAGGGAAACGAAUCAUACAUUCAAGACUCCUUAUUCCUUUUACCACUCUUUGUUGAUCCUGAAUGGCUAGUUUAUCUUUAGCUAGUUCCCCACCGAACCUAACCUCUUUCAAACCACAUGCAUUCUUGUUUUUCAUUGUCCUAUAUGCAGAUAUGUGCAAAAACGUCGGAGAGAAAGAGGAUCAACGCGGUUUUCAGUCACUGAAGACGGAGACCUGCGAUUUCAUUGGAAUGAUUCAACAAAAGGAGAUAAUUCAGUUUGCCUUGGAAAAACUUCAAAAUUUUGGUACAAUUUCGUCCCUUACACUCUCUCUUUAUAAAAUGUUAUUUCCUCUCUAAAAAAAAAAAAAAAAUCCGAAAAGGAAAAGAAAAAUAUGAAGGGAGAGGAAAUUAAAACCUUAGAGAGUCUAGGAGGAUCGAGUUUUAUACUUGAGGCAAACUUGAUUCGAUUUUAUGGAGUUUUGGAGAUUAUCUUUAUGAUUCCCGGAAAAGAUCUAAGUCUGGGGGAACAGCUGUUUACAACAAAGGAGGAAGAUUAUGCAGCAACAUUUGGCAAAGGAGAAGUGACUGAAAAUCUGCGGUCAUCAACAGGUCCUUCUCUCUCUUGCGGUUUUGCAUAAUAUCUUGCAUCCUCCAGAUCUUCAGGUAACCCGAAACACUUAAACUCCACCACUUAAACAGCCCUUAAUACCAAAUGCCGUCUACCCUGAAUAAUGUCUUUAAUGAGAAUUCACCAUUACACUUAAUGAAUGUAGAGAGCUAAGUUGACUGGAAGUUAGAUCUAAGUGUGUAGAUUUUCGCAUGACGGAUUAACGGACUAGUAUGCUUGUAUUUUGGUGAGAAUUUUCUAGACUAGAUCUAAAUAGAUGUUUCACGAUAAGUUAUGGUUUAGAAGGACGGUCACUGAGAUAUUGUUUAGUUCCUGCGAUUUUUCAAAAAUUUCUUUCCUGACUUAAGUUUGUUUGAGGACAAACAAAAAGGUAAGUCUGGGGGAGUUGAUAACACCGUAUUUUGACCACUUUUAUGGAUCAUAAUUGUAUCUUAUGCAGGUGUUUUAACUCUGUUUUCAAUAGUUUUUAAAGUGUUUUCAAUGUUUUAGAGUUUAAAAAGACUUUACAGGAAACUUGGGCAAAAGAUAUGCAAUUUGGAACAAAUGAGCAAUUUUGGAUAAAUGCAGACCGUCAGAAGUAUGACAAGCGAUGAAGACUUUCUUACCGUCUGAUCACCCCCAAAAUUUGCGAAAACAUAGAGGAUCCAACCAGCUUUCUAAUGCACUUGGUUUGGAGACAAUCAAACGGUUAGAUCUUCAGAUACUCCCGAUGCAAGAAUGACAGAAAAUGCAGUUCCGGAAGAGGACCACGAGUCGGGACCGCGGCCAACACCUGUUUUCCCGCGGGUAGAGCCACCGCGACCGCGGACAUUGGUCGUUCACUUUCCCGACGACUUAAUUAAAGCCCCGAUCAAUUCCUUUCGUUAUUUUUGAAGUCCUAAGUGUCCAGAACCACCCCAGAAGCUAUAAAUACCCUCUUUAGGUCAUUCUAAAGAGGCAGAGAAGAAUAAAACGAAACACUUAGAGAGAGAGAGAGUUCGUGUGCUUCACAAACCCUAGGAGCCGCCGCCUUUGAAGGAGGAACCGUCGAGGAGAGCAUCAUCGCGCCUUCAUCUGCGAUUCCGUUCUUCAUUCUUCUUCCCUGUUUUCUUUAGUUUCCUGCACUUUCAAUUUCGUUUAUGAUGCUUUGUUACAAUACGUUUGAGUAGUUACCCAGUUGGGUUUAAAGGGAUUGUUCAAAGGGAAUUUCAUGUGUCUUUGCUUAUGAAUCGAUAAAUUUAGGAUUUAUAAUCUUCUAGAUGUUCUUCGUUUGCCUUUAAUCUUACUGCGUGAUUCUUUGCUGGCCACUUAGAAGCCGAUCUGAUAUGAUAUGUUGCGAAAGAUUUCAUUGAUUGUCUGAACUAGGGUGAAACGAGCAAUUCUUCUAUAGGAGUGGAAACCUACCUGUAGUUGAGUUGUGAAUGUUGAUGAGUCUUAUUCUGCUAUUGCAUCUUCUCCCUUCCAGGAUCAGAGUGGAAACCUACUGAUCAGGAUUGCGAGAGAUAGUUGUUUACUGCUGUGAAAGUAGGCUAUUCAUACUUCCGUGCCUCGAGUUCUAGAACAUACGUAGUUGAUUACCUUUAUCACUUGUUUAAAAUCGACCUAGCAUAGACCAUGAACCCCUGCAAAACCCCUUGAGCCCCAACGUUUGUCUUUCAUUGCUUACAACCUUCAAUUUAAUUUGCUUUUCAUUUGCUUGUUCUUUGCUUUCAAUCGCCUAGUUUAAUCGCCAUCUAGUUGCCUUCAUUCGCUUUUGUUUAAUCGAUUUUUACUUGCUUUUAUUUGCUACUUUCAAUUGCUUUUACUUGUUUAGCUUUUUAGUUUAGAUUUAGUGACAACAAAAACCCAAAACCAAAACCUUUUUAGUUCUAAUCUGAUUUAAGCGUUGCAGUGAAUUCGUACUGAAACAACUAAGUCUCUGUGGAUCGAUACCCUAAGUACUACAGCGCACAUCUGUGCACUUGCAGACAUUUAGGGGUUAUAAAUUUAAAACCUGAAGCUUAGUAAAACGAAAACAACCAACCCCGUUUACAAACUCGCAUCAGACGAGUACCCAAGAAGACCCACACCAAAAAAACUUCAACGAUUACUUGAUAUUGGAGAGAUACGCAGAUUUCCAAGGAUGAGAGGAAGCAUCGAUUGUAUGCAUUGGGAGUGGAAGAAUUGUCCUACCGCUUAGAAAGAGUAAUAUACACGUGGAUCAGGAAAAUCGACAAUCGUCUUAGGGCAUCUUCAAUGCAGAGAUCCAUAAGAGUCUCUUAUUCAUUUGUUUAAUAUUAUUUAAGCAUAAAAUUGAUUUAGAAACUGUUUUUAAAGAUCUUCAUUUGUGGGCUGUGCAAUGGGAAAAACCCAACUGGGUGUUUUGAGAAUUUUUUUCUUUUUAAUAAACUUAAUAAAAUAUGUAUUAUUAAUAAGUAAAAUUUAUUUGAUUAAAAUACAAGUAAUACAUUGAAAUUAAAAUAAAUAAAACAUACAAUUUUUCUUAAAUACUUAAUUAUUAUGAUCUUAGCGAGGAUACUAUCUGAUCUACCUUUUGCUGAGAGCAUCUUGUUGUUGUUUUGUAGUCAUGUUUCUUUGCGGUUUAUAAUUGAAAACUUCUCUUGAGAUUAGUCGUGUCAAUUGUCUCAAAGAUUACUAAUUUGUUUUGGAAUCGGCGUUUUGUAUGGAAUCAUUAAAAAUGAGCAGAAAGACUAUACACAUAAGCAAAUUGCAAGAAACAGAACAAGUUUCUUGAUUACUACAUUAACUUCAGGUUUCGUUUAUAACAGUACAUUACACAUAGUGGUUCUGAAACCAAGCCAUCUCAGACGUAUUAUUCUUAGAGAAUUUUAAAAGAAACAUUUGGAUUACCUUUGAACAAGUGAAUUUCAAGUAGAGGAUUCUGUAAACUCCUGAAGCUGCUUGAAAUUCAUCCAUGGCUUCACCCACACUUUGGCUUCGAAAUUCUUAGUCUGCCCACCUUCGUUUGCUUCUAGAGUUAAGUGGUACAUCGUUCCUGCAACAACCUGCUCUCGAUCUCUCCACUGUUCUGGUUUCCUCGGAGAUCAUGAACGCCUCCUAGCUUCAUCGUCUCCUCCUUGCUUAUCUCUUCCGAUCUGCAAAUCGCUAAUUGAAUUGUUCCACAGAGGAGAAGAGUAAUGAUCAAGAAUGCAAUAGAACCGAAGGCUUUUGAUUCCAUCUUUAACAAAGACUUUUGGAUCUUGCCAUUUAAGCUGAAUCACUAGAUUGCUUUCCUUGCUUUGUUCUACCAUCGUGAACAAACAAAAGCAAGACUGACCAGUUGGAGAAGGAACAUAAAAAGAAAAACCACUGAAAAAAAUACAGAAGCUUUAAAAAAGGAACUUACAAACUUGGACAGUCUUCUUGCAUUUACAGGUCUAUAUACACACAAAUGAUUCAAGGUCUCUAUUUCACCAAAUGAUUCAAGUUCACAGCAGAUUUACAACGAUUACAAACAGCAAAUGAUUACAAACAACAAACAGCAAUACUUCACGACGAUUCACGCCUAAAUCCAUUUCAAUCUGUACUCAAGCAACAUUGAAAGAGAUGAAGGAAAGAAAGGGAUAAAGAGAAACUUAUCUCUACAGGAGGCGAUUGAAACUAAGACCAAUCUGUCUUUAAUUCAUCAAUCAAUCGAUUUUAUCAGGUUUCGAAGUAAGGCGCGCCCUGUUGGAAAGCGCCGUCACCAAGGGUUAUCAGGUUUCGGAGCAAGGCGCGCUCUGUGGGAGAACCGCGCCCUGUCGGAGAAGCCGUCAGGAUGCUGCGGAGUCAAAUCGCGAACCCUCAGACAAUCGAUCGGAGAAGCUGCGGAUUUCAAUCGAUUUCAUGGGUGAAGAGAGGAAAAUGGGAGAAAGAAAAUGUCGAAAAAAUGGAAAUGAAAACACUUUGGUUUUUUUUUUUCUCUCAUUUCUAUUAACCACAAACGCUUGCCGCGUGUAGCUAGAAACGUUUCCAAAAGUCGCCAAAUAAGAGACGUCUAAACCAAACUAGAGACGCAGCCCAAUUAUUUUAAUAUUUGAUUUCUGAUAAAAACUCUCUCCGUCUUGGCGUUAAUAUGCUCUUAGAGGCUGUAGCGUCACAGGAUAUUUGGAUAUGACACGUAUUUUUUGGACCUCCAUGUACCUUAAACGAUAUCAAUGUUCUUGAUCGCUCACCUAUUUUUGAUGAUAUAUUACAAGGUUGAACUCCAAAAGUGAAUUAUUUGGUCAACAGAUACGAGUAUUAUUUGACGUAGUACCUCACAGACGGUAUUUAUCCGAAAUGGGUAAUUUUUAUCCAAUCUUUUCCAAUUCCUCAAGGUCCGAAAGCAUUGUUAUUUGCUACAUAUCAAGAAUCUGUCCGAAAAGAUGUCGAGCGUGCUUUUGGAGUCUUGCAAGCUCGAUUUGCAAUUGUAAAAAACCCAGCUAUUAUUUGGGAUAAGAAAAAGGUAGGAAAAAUUGUGAGAGUAUGUAUCAUAUUGCACAAUAUGAUCGUACAAAACGAACGAGAUGGAUACACUCAGUGUUAUGUAUCAGAAUUCGAACAAGUAGAAGGAAGCAAAACUUCACAAGUGUGUUCUUGUGUGAUAUCUGCAUUCGAACAAGUAGAAGGAAGAACUUCUCAAGAAAGCAGAACUUCACAAAGCACUGUUUUUUUUAGCACUUUAUCUUCUGAGAUUACUAAUAGGGUCCACUCCACUCGACGUCUUUGACUUUUUUUUUUGUAUUUUCUCUUUGACAGAAAAUAUAGUGUUAUCCUAUUUGACAUUAUACAUAUUUUUGUAAUCUUUUAUCCGGUUAAGAUAUAUUUUCUAAAUCAUGAAUAUGAGCCAAUUAAAAAUGUUGGAUUGUGUCAAAAUAUAUUCCCUUUUAAGUUCAGUAUAACAACAUAUCAAUUUAGACAAGAAAUGAGUUCUUGUUAGUUUCAUUUCCUUCAUAUUACAAGUCUCGGACAAAUCUCAUUGUAUUAAAUAAAAAAAAAGAUGUGGAUAUGUGAGAAUCUCUGAUGGAUAUUUGAUAAUCUUUAUUAUUGUAUAGAUCUUACAUGGAACGAAAUCAAAUGCUCUUUCUUACCAAACAUAUCUUAGUAAUCAAGUGAAAGAAAAACACACACAUACAAACAAAAUGCAGAUAUGCCAACAAAUCUCGGCAAUAUGAUCGACAUUCGAAAUCAACUUCGUGAUAGACAAAUACAUCAACAAUUGAAAGUUGAUUUAGUUGAGCAUAUAUUGCACAAAUUUGGCACCUCUCAAGAUUAUAACUAAACAUUUAUUUAUUUCAAUAUCUAUAUAUUGUAUGUUUUAAAUUUCAUGUAAUGCAAUAUAAAUUUGAUUUUAUAAAAUAUCAUAUGUUUUAAAUUAUUAAAAAUAUAGUUUAUACUUCAAAGAAAUGAUUUAUCAAAAUAUUAAUUAUUCAUUUUUAAAAACCGUUAAUGAAGUUCAUCAUUAGAGGUGAAAAAACUCAAGAAAUUCUAAACUUUUAAAUAAUUAAUAUUUACUAUUAAAAAACUGUUAAGAACGCUUCAUGGAGUUCACUAUUUGGGAUGCUGAAAGGAUGAUUUUAAAUGUAGGCUAAUCAUAUAUUUUGUCCCACAUUGGUUAAUUAUCAUGACGAUCAAGGGUAUAUAAAGAGUUGAUGAUUAUUACAAGGGAAAAACGACGUAUAUCCCCCUUCUAAAAUGUGAUAUAGUAACAGAUCCACCAAUCUUUUAUCCUCAUCCUAAAUCUCCAUAAUUUGAAAGUUAAAAUAGUAUAUCCACCCGAUUGGAAAAUUCAAAACCUAUUUACCCAUAAAAUAAAUGUUCAAAACUAAAAACCACCUAAACCAUGAUUUAAUUCGGUUUAUUAUUUACCGAAUUAAACUUAACCACUAAAAAUACUACUAAACCAUAUUAAGACCCGAUUGAAAUUGUCAAACCAGAUCCAACCAAUAACUAACCCAUAAUAAAUUGGUAUUUUUCCCAGUUCGAAUCGCUUUUAAUAAUUGGGUCAUCUUCUUUCGAAAUUUUUUAGGGUUUCUUCAACGAGAAUAGAAGCAAAGUUAAUUUAGAUGCGUAUGGAUUCAUAAUUGUGAUUAAAGGCUGUUGAAAAUCUGGGAAAGCUUUGAGAUUCUUGUUAAAUUAAAAGAGAGAAUGGUUUUCUGCAAAUGUUGUUAUUUACACUAUACUGAAUCGAUGGGUGUUGCAAGAGGGGAGAAAUAAAAAAAAAGCAAAUGAUUUGUUUUGUUUAUUUUACUCUUACAGAGAAUAGAUUCUCUACCCAUCAGUUCCAAUUUUAGGAUUUUGAUGGGUAUGAUUAACAGUUUAGCUAAUUGAAAUUUAAAUUUUCAGUUCUUUAUUUUCUGGGUUUGAUGAUUCUCAGUUUCUUGUCUCUUUCUUGACUGGUGUUGUGAUCAUUUAUCAGAUGAAAUUGAAGCUUUUAUUCAGUAGUUUCAGAUUCAAUCAUAUCUGGGUUAAAUUUGAAUUCAGGAUUUCAAUUUCCAUUCUCUUCUUUUACUAACUGGUGGGACAUUGCUCUUUUCUGGGUUUUCCUUCAAUUUCCAGCUGUUAUAGCUUGUUGGAAUCCCACAUCAGAAGUGUAAAGGGACUAAUACUAGUAUGUAAGGGAUUUUGAUCUCUCCAUUUAUCGCUAAUUAGUUUUGAGUUGGAAGUCCAGUAAUCUUAACAUGGUAUCAAAGCCUCGUUUGUUGACCGAAUAAGGGUGGCCCAAAAAGGGUUUAUUGUCGGUCUUAAAGUGGGAUUCGGUUCGAGAUGGACUGAUAAGAGCCAUCAUCUCGAGGGAACGUGUUAGAAUCCCAUAUCGGAAGUUUAAAGGGACUAACACUAGUAUAUAAGGGACUUGGACCUCUCUACUUAUCGCCAAUUGGUUUUGAGUUGGAAGUCCAGUAAACUUAACAUAGCUUGCCUUCUGGUAAUCAAACUAUUUCUGAUCGGGAGUGGCAGUAAUCGGCGACGAGAUUUUGUCGACGUAAACAGCUUUCUUCAUCAGACUUCAGACGUAAGACGGCGGCCAUCCUUACACCACUGAACAAUAUCCUCUCUCAUGAUCUUCGACACUGCCGAACAUUUUUCUAGAGGUUUGUGUGCAGGAAAUUGAGUUAUCUGAUCCAAAAGAAGAAUGAUUAUGGUGAAGAAGAAGAAUAUAAUCAUGGGUCGGGUGAAGAAGAAGAAUAAAAAUGGGUCAAGUCGGCUUUAUGGAUCAGAUUAAGUUUGAUCGUUUUUUUUAUUUCGAUCGGCUAUAGAAAAUGGUUUUUGUACCGGGUUAAGCUCCUAAACCAUUUAAACCAAUAGUUAUGGUAAAUAGGUUUAAAAUUUGUCAAUUGGGAUUAUAUACGUUUUUAAAUUUAAAAUUAUGGAAAUUUAGGACGAGGUCGAAAGUUUAGAUGAAUCUAUUACUAUAUGAUAUUUCAAAGGGAGAUUUACGUCGUUUUCCCUCAGUACAAACUAACAAAGCUCGUGGAGCAUCGUGGCUUACAUGAGACGGUUUGCUUAACCAAAACAUUAAAUCACCACCCGGUCCAUAACCUCUCUGGCGAAGUGGUUAGAGGUACCCUUAGGGGCAAGUUUGUUGUACACUGUAAUGCCUAAAUUCAGUAAUAAAAUGAUUUUUAUUUUUUUAGCCAGUCUGUUAAUUCAAGUCUAAGACCACAAAACCAGUGCCAUUGAAAGAAAAAUAUUACAAUCUCGAUGAAAACAUCAGAAUUUGGGUGAUAUAUUUUGAAAACUCUCAGUUAAUAUAACUUUUAGCAUAAAAUAAUAAACUAAAAUAUAUUUGUUUGAUCGAACAGAAAGUAAGAUUACAAAUUCCAGUUUGAGUUUACACAAGAAACUAAUAAGAAUACGCAAUCUUGAGUACAGAAGAUACAGUUUCAAAGAAGAUGGGUUAUGAUCCAUGUAACUAACUUUCAGAACUCUUGUAAGGAGAUUUUGAGUUAGAGGGUCAAAAACUGAUUUAAAAUUGUAUAAUAUUUAAAAUUUUACUUAGAAUCCAUUCAUUCCUUUAAAGAGAUUGUUUAUUAGGUUUCGAUAAUAUAGAUCGAUUUUGAAUUCUUUUAACUGCCAAUUACAAAACAUGAUGUGUGAAUAACUAAAUGAAAGGUCUGAUUCUUCAUUUUAAAUCUAUUUACUAGACUUUACCUCGUGCAUAAUUUUUUUUAAUCAAAAUUUGUAAUGUAAUUUAUGUUUUUUAUAGAUAUAAUUUUUUAAUAAGUGACAAAGAUUUAUUUUUGUGUUUAGAUAUACUUUUUUUUAAAAAAUUUUUUCUUGUAUAUUAUGAUCACUAUCAUAAAAACAUAAUUUUAAUCCGGUCAUUUUAUUAAUAAAAAAAUGACCAUUAUAUAAAAAUAUAUUUCUAACUCACUCAUUCUACUAAUCCGAAAAGGACCGUGGUUAUAAAACUAUAAUUCUAACCCACUCAUUUAUAUUACUAUAUAAUAUAAAUAUUUACUAAUUUUGAAAUAAAUUUUAUCUUAAUAUCUUGCAUGUUUUGAUAAGCUAAUCUGCAUAAAAGCACAAUUACAAAAAAAUUAUAAUCCAUCCUAUCAAAUUACCAUAUAAUAUUAAUAUUUAUCUAUUUUCAAUAUAUGAAUUUUUAGUCUGACUGAAUAUAAUUUUAAAAAAUAUAAUAACAUAUUUGUUAAUCAUAUAUGUUAUUUUGAAAAUAUUAUUUUAAUUUUGAACAUUAAAUUAAAUCUAACCUAUGUUUAAAGAAAUCUAAAGUCAUUUAAAUUAAUAUCUAUUUUCAGAAUUAAAAUUAAUUACAAAAAGUUUAAAUUGUUUGAAUUUUAAAUUAAAUAUACCUAUAUUUAAGAAAAAUUUUAGUUAUCUAAAUUAAUAUCUAAUUUUUAGAAUUAAAUUUAUAUAUAAAAAUAUACUUUUAAAUAAUAUUGCAAUAAAUUAGGAUAAUUUUAAAACUAUUUAUAAAUAAUUUUGUAAAAAAAGUUUAGGAGUGCUUUUGUUUUAAUAAAAUAGAUAUAAAUGAUAGUUAUGCAGAUUGUUAAUUCUAGAAUCUAAAUAUUUUAUUUUUACUUGCAUACUAGUUUUAAUAAAUUUAGAUUUAUAUUUAAAUAUAUGAUAUUUUACUUUGUGAUUUAGCGGAGUUAAAGUCUUAAUUUUACAAUACUUCUGUUUUUAUAAGCUGUGAGGGAUUAUAUAUAUAUUCUAGUGAACAUUUUUUGACACUAUUUGAAAAUCCUAGUCAGUUUUCGCAUUCAAGUACCAACUGUCAACAUGAUAUAUCCAACUUAAAGUUCUAAUUGAAAUGACACGAUAAUCAUCUAUAAUCUUUUGAGCAUGAAACAUGCCACUUAAACAUUGAUCUUACUUUCCAAGUCUAUACCUCCAGAUGUGGUCAACAUAUAUAGAGAAUUUCAAUUGUGGCAGAGGUUUGAAUGUAAGCGGGGAUGAAAUGAAGAGCACAAACAGAAAACAGAGCUUAGUAUUCAGAAUGAAACAAAAGUGCACACAACAUGAGCUUACACUUGGGGGCAAGCAGUGAUAAGCUUUGCCCUUGGUGUAUUAUUUGGAAGCAAAAGAAACAUGAACAUAAACAUACACAAAUGUAAUGUCCUCACACCGAACGAAUACAAAAUCAACACUUGGUACCAUAUGAGGUUAUUUCAAACGCUCUCUUUGUAGCAAUGGCAAUGUUUGGCGGAUCCCUCAACAACACCUUUGCAGACUGAUUUUCUCCCGUAUUUGGCUAUACAACAGUGACAGCAAUCGUUGUUGGAACCUGUGAACGGCUCCGGCCCACACUCCUCGGAGAACACUGGAUUCGUGCAUCCUCUCGGAAGGCAUCUACUAUUGGUUCUCUGAUCAGCCUCGAUCUUGAGGAUUUCUACAUGUUGACAUAUUCAUCAGGCACAAGAUAACUAAAAGAAAACUGCAAAAUAUAGUUAAUAGAGAACUUUGUUAAAUUAAUACCAGUGGAAGCCACCAUGAGGACAAGCAAGAGAACGGUGAAGGUGAUGGAGUUGAGGUUCUUUGCCAUUUCUUUGUUGUUUUACUUUGCUUUUUCUUAAACUUGCUUUUUCUUUUUCUUGUCAAUAAACUUAACUUUUGUGAUGAUCUAUUUAUAGAUAGUCAAAAUUUUGUAAUUAACUUCGUUAGAAUUGUUUAAUCUCUCGGCUUUUGUGUCUGGUUUAACCCAAAGUUCAUAAUGUCGACAUACAGUUGUGCAAUGCCGUAUAUAUGUUUCAUUAAGUUUUUAUUUCCCAGUCAAUAAUUUUUUUUUAAUUAUGCACUUAUCUAAUUAGAUAAUUAACAAAAAAAGAAGGUCGUCGUUGUCUACUUGUCUUUGUCCUUGUUAGUUGUUCCUCUUUUUAUAAAUUUAUUUGUUCUUAAUGAAUAAUAAAAAAAAUAUCUUGUUACCCAAAAAAAUUGCACAAAUCGUCGUAGAAAAAAAAAAUUACUAAAAAAAUAAUUGCUUUAAUAUAGUUUACUCGAGGUAAGUGACUUCUCAAGCAUUUCUCUUCGGUUGACGUCGACGUCGACCCAUGACGCUACAUCACCACACCAACGCCGUUACCUCUUUUACGGUACAAAUGAUAAAAAGUUAAGCUAAGCAAAUGGUGUGAAGUUAUUCAUCUCAUCAAAAAUCACACAAGGCUUAAUUAGGCCUAUACUGUAUAAUCACACCAGGCAUAUUUUAUACCGUUAUUUAUCCCCCCCAAAAAAUAUUUCAUAUUGUGAGCACAUUCUCUUCAUUUAAAAUGGAAUUCAUCACGUAUCCCCCCUUAUUGUUGUUAAUUCCCGGAAAAUGCAUAUUUAUAUUUAAUUUUGGGGACAAGAGUUAAGCAAAGAGAAUGUGUUAUUUAGAAGACGUGCAUAGUGUAAUUGGUGGAUACAUUGGUAAUUAAUUGUUUAAAGGAAUAUAGAUGAUAUCGUGUGUUAAUUAUGAUAUUGUCCAACUCACGUCAAAAUAUUGAAUAUGGCCAACUUGAAUUCUGAACAAUUUGCGUUCAACAUUAUGCCUAUUCCGGUAUAGGGUACAAUUUCGAUCAUGAAUUUCUAUUUUCCAAAAACUUUCUGGGCUGCUAUCUGCAAACAUACUAAGUCUCCUAUCCCAAAGCUUAGCUUACUUCUUAUCAAUCUCGAUCUUAGUACUUAUCUUGUCAUUUUUGAGCAUCUGCUUACAUAUUAUCAAAAUAAAACUUGACCUUUGCGAGAGCUUUAUCAACAAACUCGGUUUCAUACAAGAUUUUGGUAAACUACUUUGGCUAAACAUAACUGUGAUGACACGUUCUUGGACACUAAGUGUCGUAUUCUCUUGCUAACUUGUAAAUAUCAUAUAAAAUGAAGUUUGGAUCUUACAAAAGCUUGAUCCCUGUACAUAGCACCUUGGCAAAAAAUAAAAUAAAAAACAAGAUCAUUAAGUCGCUGAAACCUCAGUUAAGCCAAAGUAACAUUAAGUCGCUGAAACCUUUCCUGUGCCUUCUCGCUGUGAUGGAAUUAAUAAUCUGUCUGUCAAUACCUUUAAUGAGAGAUAGGGGAGGGAGUGAGGGACAGAUUGAUGAUUGAAGAAUUAUACAUUUCUAUGUCCACAUGAUAGCUAUUCUUGUAAAGGGACGUAGAUGUUGAUCCCAAGAUCCGGAUAUUUACAAAAUUGUCUUUUAAGCAAUGUAACAUCGUCCGAUAUUAUCUAAAAACAAUGAAAAUUUUUAAACUUAAGAGAAAGUGGAUACCAAGACAACGGCGACCUUCUUGUUUUUGUCAACUAUAUAAAGUUAGUGCACAAUUAAAAAAAAAAAGAAUUGACUUCAGAAAGAUCAAUUUAAUGAAAUAUACGGCAAUGCAGAAUUAUGUCGACAUCAAUAACUUGGGUAAACCUGAAAGAAAGGUGGAGAGAUUAAACAGUUAUAACGAAGUUACAAAAUUUUGGAUUAUAAAUACAUCACGACAUCUAUGGAUAUGUAUAGAUCUCACAAAAAGUUUAAGAGCAAGCAAAGCAAAACAAAGAAAAAGAAAUGGCCAAGAACCUCAACUCCGUCACCUUCACCGUUCUCUUACUUGUCCUCAUGGUGGCUUCCACUGGUAUUAAUUAAUUUAACAAAGUUCUCUAUUAGUUAUAUUUUUCAGUUCUCUUUUAGUUAACUUGUGCUGAUGAAUAUGUCAACAUGUAGAAAUCCUCAAGAUCGAGGCUGAUCGCAGAACCAAUAGUAGAUGCCUCCCCAGAGGAUGCACGAAUCCAGUGUUCUCUGAGGAGUGUGGGCCGGAGCCGUUCACAGGUUCAAACAACGAUUGCUGUCACUGUUGUAUAGCCAAAUACGGGAAAAAAUCGGUCUGCAAAGGAGUUGUUGAGGGAUCCGCCAAACAUUGCCAUUGCUACAAAGAAAGCGUUUGAGAUAACUUCAUAUGGUGCCAAGUUUCAAUUUUGUAUUCAUCCGGUGUGAGGCCAUUAUAUUUUUGUAUGUUUAUGUUCAUGUUUCUUUUGGUUCCAAAUAAUACAUCAAGGGCAAAGCUUAUUACUGCUUGCCCCCAAGUGUAAGCUCAUGUUGUGUGCACCUUUGUUUCAUUCUGAAUGCUAAGCUCAUUUUCUGUUUGUGCUCUCCAUGCCAUUUAAUUUCUUCCCCUCUUAUAUUCAAAUUUCUAUCAGAACUGAAAUUCUCUACAAACAUUAACCACAUUUGGAGGUCUUGACCAUAUUAUUGAUUAAAAUUUGCUUAUUCGCCAGUGACAUUUUGUUGUGAUAUAACAAAGAAUGCCAAAUAAAUGUUAUUCUCUUAAUUCUAUCACUCACAUAAUAGUAUAGAGGUCAUAUAUUUCUAAAAGAAGUUAAGAUUAAGUAUAGCAUAUUAAUAUACUAUAAAUACAACAUAUGAAAUAGGUAUGUAUAAACCUAAUAUAAUAAAAUGCUAGUUAAAGGAAAUUCUUAUGGGAGAAUUUAUGAAAUAAUCAUCUUUUGGCAUAUAAUUAAGUGAAUAACACACACAUAUAUAUAUAUGUGUGUUAUUCACUUAAUUAUAUGCCAAAAUAUAGUUCAGAUGAAAAAUACUCAUUUCUUCAAGUUCAACCUCUCAUUAUCGUUUCUUUACGGCACUAACUUUCUUAAGCCACACAUCUUUAUUUGCUUAAAUUUAAUCAAACUUCACAAUCUUACUAAAAACAAUAUAUAGAUUUUUUCGCAUAUAUCAUAAUUUAAAAUCUUUCAAGAUUAAAUUAAGAUGGAUGAAGAGAUCAAAGGAAAACAAAACCUGAGACUGACAGGAGAAGACAUUUUAAAAAGAGAACGAAAAAAUGUGUGCUUUUGACAUCAGGAAAGAAAAGAUGUUUAACAAGAUAUUUUAUGUCAUUUUAAAUUUAACACUGAGAAUUAUGUUCUUAUAGGUAGUUUUUCUUAUAAAUAAAUAAUUUAAUAUGGUUAGGAUCCUACACUCCUACAUACGUAUACAUACGUAUUAUUAAUUUAACUCAAAAUGACAUUAAAAUGAUAAAAUCUAUAUACUUAUUUGUGUAGUGAUUUGUUUAUGUGUCAUGCUCACAGCAAUUUUCACAACAUUUCGUUUACGUGUCAGCUUUAGAAUGAAUUUCAGCUGUAAAAUGACCGGUUAGCCCUAUUUUGCAAUUAUAUGUCAUUUUUUAUUGGUUCUUUUUUGAUGAUGUGUAAAAAAAACUUAAAACAAACCGGUAUAAAUUAUUAUGAUUUAAUGUUUAAUUUCAUAGUCAAUCAAACUGUUUUUAAAAUUAUAUAUAACCAAAAUUUAAUUUUUUUAACAAAAACGUUUUUUAUAAAAAAAUGGAAUCUAUAUCUUUUAGUGUUUACCAUUUCUUAUGUUUCCGAAAAUUAGAAAAAAAAUCUAACAAAAAUGCUAAAAGAAACAAAAAAUAGAAACUAUUUAAAAAGUAAUGAAAUGUCGUUUUAAAAUAAGAAAAAACUUAAAUUUAGCAAAAAAAUUUAAUUAGUGAAAUUACAGUAUUUAUGAUAUUUAAAACACAUAAAACAGUGAUCAAAAUCGAAUUAGUUCAUAUGAUACUUCAAAAAAUUACGUCUAAACUACAUAGAACAGUGAACAAAAGAUCUCAAAACUAUUUAAACUAAAUUAUUUAGAUACUACUAUGUUUUUAUCUACUCUUUUCUAUUCUAUACUGUUUUCACAAUCAUAUCUUCCAACAUUAAAAUGCAAGAAAAUCUAACAAACAAAUAUACUCAAGAAUAAAAAACAAAUGAAUCCAAACUAUUAAUAAAUUUUCAAACAAUCAAAUGAAUAUUAUAUCAGUCCGCGCAAGGCACGGGAAAGUUAAAUAGUAUAUUAUUAAACAUCUUUUGUUUCUUGAUGUUAAAAUUCUAUUUUUUUUUUCGUUUUCUUUCUGAAAUAUCUUCUUCUCUCAGUCUCAUGUUUUGUUACUCACUCUAUAUAUGGCAUAUAUGUUUUAUUCACUUAAUAAUAUCUCAAAAAUAUGAUUAUUUCAAAAAUUCAGUAAUAAUUAUUUCCUUUAACUAAGAUUUUAUCAUAUCAGUUUUAUACAUAUCUAUUUCAUAUUUUGUAGUUAUAUUAUUAUAAUAUACAUUAGUAUACUAUACUUAAUCUUAACUCUUUUUUAAGAUAUAUAUGACGAUCUAUACUACUAUCUGAGUGAUAGAAUGAAGAGAAACAUUUACUUGACAUUCUUUGUUAUUUACAAAUAAUGUAAUUGGAGAAUAAGCAAAUUUUUAAUCAAUAUGUGGUCAAGACCUCCAAAUGUGGUCAAAUGUUUAUUGAGAAUUUCAGUUGUGAAAGAAUAGCGGGGAUGAUAUUUUGAAGCAAAAAACAAACAAAAAAAUGAGUUUAGCAUGAAACAAAAGUGCACACAACAUGAGCUUACACUUGGGGGCUAGCAGUGAUAAGCUUUGCCCUCGAUGUAUUAUUUGGAAGCAAAAGAAACAUGAACAUAAACAUACACCAAUGUAAUGUCCUCACACCGAAUGAAUACAAAAUUGAAACUUGGCACCAUAUGAAGUUAUUUCAAACGCUUUCUUUGUAGCAAUGGCAAUGUUUGGCGGAUCCCUCAACAACACCUUUGCAGACUGAUUUUUUCCCGUAUUUGGCUAUACAACAGUGACAGCAAUCGUUGUUGGAACCUGUGAACGGCUCCGGCCCACACUCCUCGGAGAACACUGGAUUCGUGCAUCCUCUUGGAAGGCAUCUACCCUUGGUGCUGCGCUUAGCCUCGAUCUUGAGGAUUUCUACAUGUUGACAUAUUCAUCAGCACAAGAUAACUAAAAGAAAACUGCAAAAUAUAAUUAAUAGAGAACUUUGUUAAAUUAAAUACCAGUGGAAGCCACCAAGAGGACAAGCAAGAGAACGGUGUAGGUGAUGGAGUUGAGGUUCUUCGCCAUUUCUUUUUCUUUGUUUUGCUUUGCUAGCUUGCUCUUAAACUUUUGUGAGUUCUAUACAUAUCCAUAUGUGUGGUGAUCUAUUUAUAGUCCAACAUUUUGUAACUUCGUUAUAAUUGUUUGAUACUCUCGGCUUUUCUUUCAGGUUUACCCAAGUUCAUAAUGUCGACAUAAUUGUGCAUUCCCGUACGUUAUGUUUCAUUAUUUUUUUUUGUUGAAACUAAUUCUCCAUGAAAUUAUUAUUUCCCAAGUCAAUUCCUUUUUUAACUGACCUUACAUAAUUGACAAAAAGGGAGAUCGUCGUUGUCUUUAUAUCCAUUUUCGUAGGUUUAAAACUACCAUUACUCAUUUCAUUAUAUAGAAUUAUGUUACAAUGGUUUUUUUUUUUUUUUUUUUGAAAAACGGUUUUUUUUUAACUAAGAUUUUCAAUAGAAAAUAUGAGAAGAAAGGAAUACAAGUCUAGCCAAGGCAUUGAAGAAGGGCUUUACAUUGUUUAAAUGAUACUUUUUUGGUUAUCCGGAUCUUGAAAUCAACAUCGAUUCAUCGUGAAUUUCUCUUUUUUUGGAAAACUAAGUGGUUUUGGAUCAAUUUUUAAUAUUAUUUUUCGUCCUAACUAUCACUUGAUCUUGUGAUUUUUUGGAUUACCCAAAGUACCUUUCUAGUCAAGUUAUUUAACUCUGGUGAUUCAUCUUGGAUUUCUCUUAAAACAAUAGCUAUCAUGGAAGCAUAGGAAUGUAUACGAAACUUGCUUUAGAAGAAUGUGUCAUCACAAUUAUGUUUAACCAAAGUAGUUUACCAAAAUCUUGUAGGAACCCAGUUUGUUGAUGAAGCUCUUGCAAAGGUCAAGUUUCUUUAAUCAAAUCUAAGGAAUGCUCAAAACGACAAUAUAAGUUUUAACUAUGAUCUAGGUUGAGAAGAAGUAAGCUUUGAAAUAGGAGACUUAGUCUAAUUGCGGAUAGCAGCCCAGAAAGAAAAAGAACGAUUGUGCAUUGCGUUAUUGUAUUGAGUAUCUGAAAUGAUUUGGACAAGUUUGUGUUUUUUUGGGUUUAAUAAUGAAACUUUUGUAUUUUUUUUUAAUUUUUUAUUUUUAUAGAAAAACACGUUAUAUCAUUAUUUUAAUUACCACUAGAUUCUAUCCAGUGCGUUCGCACGAGAACUAAUUUUUAUUUAUGUAAUAUAAUUUUUAUUUUUGUUUAUAUAUAUAUAUAUAUAUUUUAAUAAUUGAUAAAAAAAUCUUCUUUUUAAAUAAAAUUUGUUUCUAUUGAUUUAGCUUUUUUAAUAUUAUAUAUGAUUGUGAUUAGAAAAAUAUUAUUAUAAGUCGUCUGUGGCUAUUAAUUUGAAAAAUAUCACAAUUAAAAAAUAUUAUUAUAACAUAUUUAUUUAUAUUAAUAUAAAACCCAAAUUAUUAAAAUAUUUAGCAUAUCUGUUCAUAUUAUUUGUAUAUUUUAAAUAUUUAAAUUUUAAUCUUAUUUAAUUAAAAAUAUAAUAAUAUAUUAUUUUCAUUCCUGUCAUUAAAAGAAUUAUUUAAAUUUGAAUAUUUAAAUUUAAUCUAAGUUAAUAUUGGGUUUUUAUUUUUAAAAAUAUAAUAAUAAUUUAUUUUAUAAUUUUUGAUAAUAUAACCUAUAUUUAAGGAAAUUUAUAACACAUUUAAAUUAAAAACUAAAUUUUCGAAUUUAUAUUAAAAUUAAAAUUAAAAAUAUAUUAUUUUAUUAAUAUUAGACUAAAUUAACUUAUUUAGUAAAUAUAAAUUAAAAUCAUAAUUAUUUGGCAACAGAAUAGUUAUCCAAAAACAGAAUAGUAGGAAACCAAGUAAAAAUUAUGUUUGGACACAAAACACUAUUCACUUUUACUAGUAUAGAUUUUCCUUAUAGAGAGAUUAUGCACUCGUAUAUAAGUUUAUUAGUAGAGUUGACUUACUAGCUUAUCGUUUAAGCCUACCCCCAGAUCUGCAAGUACCCGAUUUAACUCGGAGAGAUUCCUCAUAUAGAUUAUUUUUGGGCAAGCAGAAUCUGGUUGUUAAUUGUUUUUACGAGGAAUGGAUGCUCGAAGCCUUCUACUUAAUUAUUUUUUUCAGCCCAUAAUUUUUUCGUAGUAAGUAAUUUUGUUUUCUCGUGUCUAAUUUAUCGCAUGCCGCUGUAACAAAACUAAAAGUUAAACAUGAAAACCUAAACCCUAACUUCCAUUUCAGAAAUUAGAUAUCCACGUCAAAAGUUCCAUGUCCACAUAAAAAGUAACAUGUUAGGGAAAAAAGCCACUCGUUUAUUACAGUUAGAUCAAUGGUAAAAUGACCUAAAAAUUGUUUAACUCACAUAAUUAUCAGUUUCUUAAUUUUCUAUUUUAUUUUUUACAUGGGGUGAAAAAAACUCAAAUCUAAUACUCCCAUGUUUCUGAAAGUUGUAUGUUUUAGGUGUAUUCGCCUUCGCACAUUUUGAGAAACUUAUCUCUAUGAUUAUAUUUCCUCAAGUUAGUACAGAUUGAUAUUUUAAUGAAUUUUAGUUCGCAUAGGUAAAUUAAAAAAAAUGAACAAUUUGUUUGAAUUGAGAUUUCAAUAAUUAAUGCUUUUAGCUGUUGGUGGUGUACUCCGCACCCUUGGUUUAGUCCGGUAUGAACCGAGAUCGGCCCAAUUGAUCCCUAUAUACGAUAGUUCAUAUCUGAAAGACAUUCGACCUAUUAACUGAUUUACAAUAUCAGUUUUUAUAUCCGGACUUCGCGGAAUAUUUCCUAAUCUUAUAUGGAAAAAGGAAAUAUUCCUAAAAGAUAAUUCCCCGAGAAAAAAAGAAGUUAUUCUUAUCUAUUCCGGGAAAUAAGGAAAUAUGCAUUAUCAAGUUAAAAAGGAAAAAGAAAAUCGAUCAGUUUCAACCUCUAUAAAUAAAGAGCUCCUCGUUCAUUCAAGCAGAUUCACAACUCUGCAGAAGACAUAGAAUACAUCUUUUUCUUAUUCUUUCUGUAAUAUGAACUACGAAUGGCUUGAUCCCUCUUUUGGGUACGUAGACAGUUCAUAUUGAGUUCAGCUAUAACUUUAAUAAAAUCUCUAAAUUCUUUGUGUGAUACUCGAUAUCAACAAUUGGCGCGCCAGGUAGGGGGCGAGUGAGAUUCUUAAAAAAACCCUAAAUCGGAUGAUGGUAUCUCCGAUCUAUUCUCUCGUUGCCUCUACCGAUUAAGAUCACUAACAUGGAUCUUUGACGAUAUCACCUACAACGUCUUCUUCAAGUACAAAGUAGCCGAUCUCCAGAUCUCACCAUUAUUCGUCAUCCGUCAUCAAUCAAAGAUAAGUGUUAUUAAUUAUACUUAUUGCCUCAUACUUUUCACGUUUAUUGAAUACAUGGACUCAGAAUCAUUAAUUAAAAAUUGAUAAGUGAAUCUUUUACCAGUUCGGUUCAUCCUAGUUUGUUUAGUCAAAAAUUACGGCUGCAGAGUAUUUGAAACAACUAUAAUUAAUAUCUCUAACUUCUGUUUGAGCCCUUUGCAAAGAAAGACAUCGUGAAUUAUACAUCGUCACAUAUUUUCAUUAAUUUGUUUAAUUUUAUGUCGUUGGUUGAAUCAAUGCAUUAAUCAUCUUGGUUUAAGAUUACAUCAUUAUCUCUCAUACUUCUUGAUCGGGAACUUACUGACUUAUGAUCUGACUUUUUCUUUGUUUCUGACUCGAGUCGAUGAUGUCUGCAUCUCUCCUAUCGCUAAUUUGCUUUUCAUUCAAAGACAAAGCUUCUUUGUUUAAAUAAAAAAAAUAAGAGAGGAGUAGGGGCUAUGGGACAAGACUCACCGAGCUCAGAUUCAUUCAUCGCCGUACAACAACAAUCCGUCAUGACUCGAAGCUUUCCGGAGCUCCGCCCUCACCUCCAUCACCGCAUGUCAACACCGCCAAAUUGAACGCCUUUUCUCCGGCAAACAAAGCUGUCGUUGGAAGGAAAUCAGAUUUUCUUUUUCUGUUGGGCUUGAACAGGUUUUGGCCCCAUCUGAUAUUAUGAAAUACCAGGCCCAACAACUGGCCCAGAAUGAUGUGAAGACUAAAAGCCCAAUCUCCUGCAACAACAACAACCUUUCCCGAUGACUCAGAUGAAUCUCCGGUCACGUCAAAUCCGAUGACCCUGACCAGACCUGCAAACUGCCGGCGAACUGCAGAUUUUCGACCUGAACCGUCUCAAUCGCUAGCUCCAUCAAAGUACCUCAGAGACCUUUCCCUCUUCCUUGCUUCAAACAACCAUGGCAAGAAAAACACAUGUUGCUUCCACUUUUGGAUUUCAAAAAUUAAUUCCUGAAAUUCUCCAUCGCCGACCUCAAGAGCUUUCAUGUUCAUUCUGGACUCGGAAAACUUCAGAGAUUCGCAACAAUUCCCAAGCUUCAAUACCCGAUGACAUCCUAGAAAUACUUCACUGAGUUUAAGAAGAUUUAUUCUAGCUGAUACCAUCACCAUCUCAGCUCGCCGCACGGCUUCACCAGCUCUCUACCGGAAUCUAAAAACCAGUUCCGAAUCACCUCGUCAAUCCGCUUCUCAUCCAGUUCACAAAGAGAUGGAUAGAGUAAAUCGAGAGAGAACACAAUAUUUCAGAUCUUCACUUUACAAGGGUUGAAUAUCAAAGAGCCGAGCUCAGCAAUCCCGCACCAGCAACAAAAGCUAAGUGUCAUCUUCUUUACCAAAUACUAUGAUCUAAAAUCUCAAAGAAAAUAGAUCUCUUCACAAGCUUUCAUCGAAAUGUUGCAGGACUUACAAAAAUCAUAGCUCCGGCUAAAAGACGCUUCAGCAAUAUAAAGUAGCGACAACAAUUAAGAGCUUCAGCUCGUCAAUCCAUCCCGCAUAAGCACAAGUUCAAAAUUUUCUCAGUUCUCUCACCGACCUAAGCCAAAGUUUCAAAGCAACAGUGCAACAUGAAUAUUCUAAGCUCACCGAUCUAGAAGCUAUUCUUAGCUCGUUACCCGAACUCCUUGAUACCCAGGUAUUAUCUAUCAAAAUUAUACAUCUUAUUCAAAGAAUAUUCACCAUUGUCACAGGGUCUGUCCCUCCUCCAAGCCGAACUAAGGUUCGCAUUUAAAAAAAAAAAACAAAAAGAAGAAAAGAGACGGUUCUACAAAGCUCUUUAUAGACGAGCUCCGAGCUCCGAGCUCCUACCUAAACUCAUGCUUCUUGGAAGCUAUUUCUAAACCGAGCUCUGAGCUCUCAUUUCUAAACUAAGCUACUACUGAUACAUUUCAUCAGCCUCAGUCUGCUAGUUUCUUUAUAUCUGCUUCAGCUCGUCAAGUUUUAUAUCAGAAAGUUCGGAUUUCAAUUCAGCUCGGUUUUAGUUCAAAAUUCCAGUUCAGCUCUGAAUAUUAAUUGGGUUUCGAAUCCAGAGCUUCAGUCAGUUUGGUUUUGAAUCAGAAUUUCAGCUCAGUUCAGAACUUCAGAAUUUUUCAGUUCGUCAUCAGAUUUGGACUUCGGAACUUCAAUAUUAUCAGUUUUGUUCAGAAUUUCGAGUUUCAGUUCGAUACAACAGCUCAGUUAGUCAGUUCAGUUCAUCGACUUGAGUCCGUCAUCUCAGAAUACACUCUUCUGCCGAGCUAUACCGCGCUCAAACCUCUUCUAGCUCAUCAACCGAGCUCCUCUGAAAUUCAGGGUCCGUCCCUCCAAGCCGAAGUGACAUGUUCGCAGUCCCAACCGAACUCAUCGGUAUUACAUCGACUUCCUGGCCAGUUGUUCGAUAGCAUUUCUCAACAAUGCAACCUCAAAAAGCCGAGAUCCGUCUCGCAAGCGUCCACAUGGCGCCGUGGUGAAAGAAUCCACAAUUUUUAAAGCCGGGGCCAGUCCCGCAUUACUUAUUCCUAAGUCACCGAGAACAAUAAGCCGAGCCCAUCUCGCACACUCUGGUUCGAUUUAGGAGACCUUGAGUUUGUAUCAUGCGUUUACAAGGGUUCGAUUCCUCACUCUUCCAGUAUGAUAAAACUCACUUGAGUCCCCCAGGCCGAGUUCAUUUAACUCGCACAAAUUAAGCCGAACACCUCAGAUUCGCACCGUAAGCCGAGUUCUCAACACUCGCAAAUGUAAGCCGAAUUAUCGCAAUUCGCAACCGACUGAGUUGAAACUCAUAUAAGCCAAGCUAACAGGCUCGCAAGUCUCCAAUCUCAAUUCACACCGAACUAAAAAUACUCAUGAAAUCCGCCGAACUCUUACACAUACUCUUUCGCCGGACUGAGGGGGGGGGGCUUACUGUUGGUGGUGUACUACGCACCCCCGGUUUAGUCCGGUAUGAACCGAGAUCGGCCCAAUUGAUCCCGAUUUACGAUGGUUCAUAUCUGAAAGACAUUCGACCUGUUAACUGAUUUACAAUAUCAGUUUUUAUAUCCAGACUUUGCGGAAUAUUUCCUAAUCUUAUAUGAAAAAAGGAAAUAUUCCUAAAAGAUAAUUCCCCGAGAAAAAAGGAAGUUAUUAUUAUCUAUUCCGGGAAAUAAGGAAAUAUGCAUUAUCAAGUCAAGAAGGAAAAGGAAAAUCGACCAGCUUCAACUUCUAUAAAUAAAGAGCUCCUCGUUCAUUCAAGGGAGAUUCACAACUCUGCAGAAGACAUAGAAUACAUCUUUUUCUUAUUCUUUCUGUAAUAUGAACUACGAAUGGCUUGAUCCCUCUUUUGGGUACGUAGGCAGCUCAUAUUGAGUUCAGCUAUAACUUUAAUAAAAUCUCUAAAUUUUUUGUGUGAUACUCGGUAUCAACAUUAGUGAGGGAAAAGAAAAACAGAAAGAAAAAGAAACGGAUCAAAAGAGUAUACCUACAAAAGAAUUGCAUAUUUAAACGGGUCGGUGCUUCCGGAAUAGAAAUAAUUGUCGUAGUGGAAAUUACAAUAGUUAAAAUUUAUAAGUAAAAUAAAUAGAGGAUUUUGGAUUAACUUUAAAUAACAAAAGAUCUGAGGAAUUAUCAAGCAAUAAACAGAACUUUUAUUGUCCGAAGAGAUCAAAUGGGAUUAAAAAGCGGUUUUGAACAAGAAAUGCGGAGUAAUCUAUGUUUAGUAUUUAGAAUUCAUUCUUAAGAGUAAUUUUACAAAAGCAAAAACAAAGACUUGUCAAGUGUUUGAGUGUAGAGCUAGUUGGGAUAGAAGAAGUUUUGCUGCUUUUUGCUCUCCUCCGUGUUUGAUAUUUCCAAUUAUUCUGUCUGAUUUGCUAUGGAUAGUUUUAAUUUCGAAGAUUAUCGUCCUUACGUUUAGGUGCAUUAAUUCACAUAUUUGAAUAAUUUUUUGUUCUCGUUGUAGUUGACUACCAGAAUUGCAUUUAUUCUUCUUUGACGUAGAUUUCAAUUGGUAAAAAAAUUAGUCUGGUUCGUCACCUCGUCAGUAUUUUUGAUUUCAUCAGCAUUUUUACCAUUGGUUUAUUGGGUCUACCAUCACAACAGUGC